rnacentral:SRP_RNA from 1 species
AGUAUUGAUUGCGAGGGCCUGUGGCUAUCCUUUCAGCUUGCCCAUUCCAAGUCGAAAGUCGGGCUAUGUGACUUGGGCGAAGGCCUAAGUUUCGCAGUCCCUAGAGCGGAGGGCACCGUGUGAGGCUGGUUUCACAGAGUAGAAAAAACCUCCCGCUCCUCGCAGUGGAAGGAUAACAAGCUGGUGCUACUCAGAUCCAACGUGAGCCAGUGGGCU